CCGUGGGCGCCGAGGUCGUUCGUUCAUUCGCCGGGGGCUUAGGUUACAAGAGGGAGCGUUCUAGCCAGGCCGGCAAGCAGGGGCAGCUCCUGUACCUAGCCAGAGGGCAGAGGGGACUAAAGAACGGCUUUCAGACCAGAAAAACGCCACUUAGCAAGGACAAAACCAUUAGCGCCCCUUUUAUGGCCCCUAAAGCCAGGCCCGACAACGGCUCAAAAAAAGGAGAGAAGCUCCUAAAGACGGCUAGACCAGUACAAGAAAGGCAUUUAAAGAUUUGACUUUUGUACCUUCCAAAAAAAUAGGCCACUAACUUUCUACCUUUUUUUUAAACAGGAUCCACAAACCAGGAACGAUGACGUCAGGGGGAAGAGAACGGCUAACUAAACGGACAGUAUAUUAGAGAGCACAAGAAAAAUAAAAGAGGAAGACAAUUGUGAAAGGCAAGCACCACAACCACGCUACUAGCGUCUCAACCUCAUCUCUGGCGGUCGUGCUCGCUAGCGAGAACUAAAUACAGCGGACGAGAUGACGAGGUACCAAGACUCGAGGGUAGUGGUAGUGGAGGAAGGCGAAAAACAACGGAAGAGGGGGUUCGAGCCGUCUCCCCGCGGUCUUGAGUUCUAAUAGCGAAGUUCUAGAGGGCUAAACCUAAACCCCACUUCAUGAGACCUAAAGACGUAAAUCUGGUCACGGGGCACGUGCACUUCAUUAUUGUUAUGUUCUUAGGGGGUUUAGUGCUAUUCGAACCAAACCAAACCCACCUAAUUCAAGUCGUGAGGGGGGAGUCAAAGUAACUGUAAGGAGUUCAAGUAUUUGUUAGUCGGUCUUUCGUCUAAAGAAAACGCUCAGAAGUGUCUUUUUCUUAUUGAGGCAGAAGAGAGGUCAAAAUUAGUCUUCAAACUCUGUUGAGCCAAAGACUAAAACCUCUAACACGCGAGUCCGAGAGUUGGUCCUCAAAGGCAGGACCCUAAAUUGUAAAGUCAGCUAACAUCAGUUCCAAUUAUUAAGUUAUUAGAAACCUAGAAUUCUAAUUCCCCGAACAACGUGUUUCUCUACUACCAUGGAACAAGCGCCUUCCAGGCGUAAAGGACGACACUAGGACUGCGGUGGCUAAGGAGACUACUUCUACUAGCCGUACGCUUCUUCCUUUUCUCUUACUGUUACCUCCACGAUCAAGGUCACUUUUGGAGGCCUGGGGAGUUCAGAGCUUUCUGGGAACACGGUACACCGUGGUUCUUUAGUUACCCAUGUCUCUUCUUCGUUGGUUGGUCGUUCAUGGGACCACACGCGGACGCCAGUACCCCAUUCACCCGACGCCUCUAUGCACUAGGACACUCGUUCUGGGCCUUUACCUAACCGUGUAAAUGGAGACUCCUCCGGCGACGACGUCGUAUACUCCGUCUUGCCUUGGCCCAUGCGUGACUCUACAACCGGUAGUUUAGAGCCAGUGGAGGUAGUCUUGUACUUCGACACAGGUCGCUUCGAUGACAUAGGACACACAGAAGUAGACACAGCAGGCCACUGGUCUUUCGUGUUCUCCAUGUGUUCAAUCGCAGUUACCUCUAUCUGGGACUGUGACGACUACUCUCGAAUGACGUGACGAGUGGCCUUGGCGAUCCAUUUCUUUAGGUCCAUCUACGAAAGGAACCGGCCUACUUACAACUACUUUCGAAUCACGUGACGAGUAGCUGUGGAUCGCUACUUCUUUAAGGACACCUACGUAAGGCGUCGGUCUACUUGCUCGAAGGAUAGCCGCUGAUACAAACGCGUUGACUGUUUGAGAGUGACCUACUAUAAAGUUCCGACCGUCUAUACAAAGGACAGUUACUGAAGCAGCUGUGUUGUCCGCUCGGCGGACCACUGCUGAUGUAGCCCGACCGUCUGUAGUCGGUAGAUGGCUACGGUUACAAGCUCAACCUACGUCUUGAAUUAACCCUUCCGAAGCUGAAACGAAGCUACCUUGUACUUGAUCUCUUUGAAACUCCGGAGUUGUGUAACUCCAAAAGUAGAAAGACUCGCUACAGUCCCACUCAAACACUAGUCCUCUACACAAGUAGAGGUUAAAACAGCCUUUAACAUGUCAGAAGGGGAGAUCUAAUUAGACCAACUCGGAAUAUACAUGGCACAUUAUACAUGUACUAGUAGAUUAAGCUUAGACGAUAACUUUAAGUAUUACCUUCGAGCUAGCACACAGAAGAACAAUAAGCACAGAGUCUUAAAAAACGCAACGAAAUACACUUAUAUUACACGAGGACAGUAUAAAGUCAAUGGGCACGAGACCUCAGGUCUCAUAAUGACAUGAAAAGAACAAAAGUCAUUCAAGUCUCUAUCGGUAUUAAAGAUAUGGAUUCCCCGGGUUCAACUCCGACGCAAAAGUAGGAUCUUAUGGUACAAAUCAAAAG
rnacentral:rRNA from 1 species